UACAGAGGGUGCAAGCGUUGUUCGGAAUUAUUGGGCGUAAAGGGCGCGUAGGCGGUGCUGUAAGUCUGUAGUGAAAUCUCUGGGCUCAACUCAGAGUCUGCUAUAGAAACUGCCGGGCUUGAGUAUGGGAGAGGUGAGUGGAAUUUCCGGUGUAGCGGUGAAAUGCGUAGAUAUCGGAAGGAACACCUGUGGCGAAAGCGGCUCACUGGACCAUAACUGACGCUGAGGCACGAAAGCUAGGGGAGCAAACAGG
rnacentral:rRNA from 1 species